rnacentral:tRNA from 1 species
GCCCCGCGGNUGGAGUACAUCGGAGUGCAAAUCCGGAGAANCACCCUAAAAGGUGCCGGGGCUU